AGGGGUACAGCUCAGGGGUGGAGCGCAUGCUUGGCGUGCACCAGGUCCUGGGUUCAAUCCCCAGUGCCUCUG
rnacentral:tRNA from 1 species